rnacentral:rRNA from 1 species
GGGGGUGCCCUUAAAAUUGCCAAGUCGAACGAGACCUUCGGGUCUAGUGGCGCACGGGUGCGUAACGCGUGGGAAUUUGCCCUUAGGUUCGGAAUAACUCAGGGAAACUUGAGCUAAUACCGGAUGACUUCGGUCCAAAGAUUUAUCGCCUAAGGAUGAGCCCGCGUAGGAUUAGCUAGUUGGUGAGGUAAAGGCUCACCAAGGCUACGAUCCUUAGCUGGUCUGAGAGGAUGAUCAGCCACACUGGGACUGAGACACGGCCCAGACUCCUACGGGAGGCAGCAGUGGGGAAUAUUGGACAAUGGGCGAAAGCCUGAUCCAGCAAUGCCGCGUGAGUGAUGAAGGCCCUAGGGUUGUAAAGCUCUUUUACCAGGGAUGAUAAUGACAGUACCUGGAGAAUAAGCUCCGGCUAACUCCGUGCCAGCAGCCGCGGUAAUA